CACGUAGGGGGCGAGCGUUGUCCGGAAUCAUUGGGCGUAAAGAGCUCGUAGGCGGUUUGUUGCGUCGGCUGUGAAAACCUGAGGCUCAACCUCAGGCCUGCAGUCGAUACGAGCAGACUAGAGUGUUGCAGGGGAGACUGGAAUUCCUGGUGUAGCGGUGAAAUGCGCAGAUAUCAGGAGGAACACCGGUGGCGAAGGCGGGUCUCUGGGCAACAACUGACGCUGGAGGAGCGAAAGCCGUGGGGAGCGAACAGG
rnacentral:rRNA from 1 species